rnacentral:lncRNA from 1 species
AUAGACUAUUGCUGGAAACCAUCCGCUGGGAUGUUUCUUAGGGAAAUCCCGUCGUGUGGAAGGAAGCCUUUUAAAGGCAAAGUCAGAUGUUGAGGAAUUAGCCUUUUCAUAGAAUUAUCAAAGGAUGGCUGUACAGACCACCUAGAAAAUAAUUCAGUAUUUCAGGUUUUUCUUUUCUGGGAGUGUGAUAACUGAAAUUGUUAGAUUUUGGCUCAGUUAAGAAAAGAAAGAUCUGUUGCCUUUCUUCUGAGUGAACAGUGGUGAGAAAAAAUUUUGCAAGGCCCCGCUUUUCCUUUCUUCACAGGCCAGCAGUAGCCAUAUCUGAUCAAAAAAGAUACCUGAAGGAAUAUUGAUCACAUUUUCCUGAGGCCCUAGCAAGCACAGGAAUUGAGAAGUUAGGACUGGAACAACUUUGUCAUUUGUCACAAUUGCCAAACAUUAGAAUACACAGGAACCGUUUUUUCAGGUAACUCUGUGACUUGGCUGGAUCUUCCUGAUCAUCAAGAUUAGCACCUCGGGGCCUGGAAGAGGUUAGGGAGGGCAGGAAGAAGGAGUGAGCCAGCAUCCAGCUCUGCGUGGGGCAGGCUAUGGCGUGGACAGACUUAACAUUCCACAGCACGGCUGAAAGCCCUGGACCUCUUUCCCUUGCACCCCUAAUUCAUGGUGAUAAAACCAAAACAUGGUGAAUUAGGUUAUUAGAACGUUGGAACAUCUCUGAAGCUCAAAGCCCUCUUAUGGCUAUGUGAAGGCAUACGUGGAGGCAUACGUACUCCACCCUGAAGCUUCUCCUUCAAUUUUAAUGUUAAUCUUACCAAGCGACAGCUUUCAUCCUGGUUAAGGCAGCUCGGUGUGUGUAAAAGCAGCCUGGCCUGUUAAACACAAUGCCGUUAAAUCAAACUGCCUUUCUUUUUUUUUUUUUAAAGUUUCCUUUUCAGUACUGACAACUUGGAGGUAGAGAAACCAAAAGCAAUGUUUUCAGAAGGCCUUUUGCUUUCUUAAAGAUUUCAAACGAUGAUUGUAGUUAAUCUGGCUGCCUGUUUGAAAAACCAUCAGAUAAAUGCCCACAAGGCUCUCAUCUUUCAGUAGCUUAGCUGCUGCUUGUCAGAUUCUAAACUCCAAAGUGCUUGACUCUUCCAGUGCCCAAACUAAUCCUUGUUUAAAUUAUGUCUUCAGAAGCUAUAACUCUUAUAGUGGCUUGCUAAAUGAUACCCUUUGGAUCUGGGCUGAAGACUUCCAGAAUGCCCAAGUGAAUUUCAGGAGCGGGCUCAAUGUUUAACCAAAUUCACCUUUACCAAGGGCUAUUCAAUCCAUAUCUGGGAUGUUUUAAAUAAAACUAUCCAGGACUGUGGGCAAUAUUCAAAGUUAAUAUUUGUUGCCAAUAUGUUUGGAGUGCAAGAUAAAGCAUUAUAAUGUCUAGACAUUUUUGAAAUAAAAAAGUCUUCUGGUUACCAAAA